rnacentral:rRNA from 1 species
AACGAACGCUGGCGGCGUGCCUAACACAUGCAAGUCGAACGUGAUUGAAGAGCUUGCUCUUCAUGAAAGUGGCGCACGGGUGAGUAACGCGUAGAUAAUCUACCUGAUGAUUCGGGAUAACACUUCGCAAGGGGUGCUAAUACGGGAUAAGCCCACGGAGUCUUUGGACACUGCGGGAAAAGGUGGGGACCUUCGGGCCUUCCGUCAUCAGCUGAGUCUGCGUACCAUUAGCUAGUUGGUAGGGUAAAGGCCUACCAAGGCGACGAUGGUUAGCUGGUCUGAGAGGAUGAUCAGCCACACUGGAACUGAGACACGGUCCAGACUCCUACGGGAGGCAGCAGUGGGGAAUUUUGCGCAAUGGGGGGAAACCCUGACGCAGCAACGCCGCGUGAGUGAUGAAGGCCCUUGGGUCGUAAAGCUCUGACAGAGGGAAAGAAAUGUGGGUGGCUAAUAUCCAUUCCACUUGACGGUACCCUCAAAGGAAGCACCGGCUAACCCCGUGCCAGCAGCCGCAGUAAUAC